rnacentral:lncRNA from 1 species
ACCGGCUGACCGGUAAAAUCCAACUAACCGGUGACCGGUUAGUUGAGACGGGUAAAUGGGUCGAUGGGACGGGUCUGACCCGUACCCGACCCGGUUACCCGUCUCGGUUAUAAAUAAUUCACUUAUGGGCUUUAUUUAAUAAAGCCCAUUAUGUUUAAUUUAUUAAAGCCUCAUUUCAAGUUAUUUGAAACCCUAUAAGUUCAUUUAAUAAAGCCUCAACGAAUAAGUUUAAGGAUAUUUUGAAUUACAUUAUGGAAUUAAUUACUUAUUUGCAUUACUAUUUUGAUAUUUUUAUUUAUAUAAACAGGGAUAUAAACAUGGAUAUAAACAUGGAAUAGAUAUAUAAGUAUAUAACAAAAUUUCUGUUUUUUUAAAAAAAAUUACGAAAAUACCCCUACCGGUUAACCACUGGUUACCGGUGGUUAACCGGUCUAACCGGAAAACCGGUAAGCCAGAACCGGUUACCGGUUAACCGGUUUUUAAACCUUGGUAUAUACAAUUUAGCAUUAAUUCCUACUUAACUCUCUAAUACAUACAAAAUAGAAAUGAGAUAAUUUUAAUUCUAAACUACAUCAGGAUACAAAUCUACAGUGUUCUUUGGUUCUUAUAAUUUUAAUAUAAUGUAUUAAUACAUCAUCAAUGAGAUGUUUUUGGACAAAAUUGGGAUGUCCAUAAAGAUAUCACGAAUAAUGAAAAUAAAAAACCCGGUAAAUUUCUCAAAGAAAUGUAAAAAACAUGAUAGGAGAGCCAGAAACAUUAUCCUGAAAAAGCAUCUUCAAUCUGACCUUCUUUGUUGUAGUUUCAGCCUCUGUCCAGAUGCCAUCGACUUGUUUGUAAAGCUUGUCCUUUGUUUGCUUUGUUCUGCAUCCAGUCUGCUUGUAAAUAAGUGACUUCUUUGGAGUUACUGCUGGCCGCGACAUACGAUGUAUGUCUCAGGCUACAGCAAGAAAAUAAUCAGGCGGACAAACUAAAAAAUAAAGUAAUUACCUAGUUUUUAAUUCCUCCGUUAUUCCUCCCACUUUUUCAUUCAAUUCUUUGACAGUCUUUUGGAAUUCUGAGUUGCUGCCAAUAAGUGACAUAAGCAAAAGUACACAUCCAAAUUAUAUAUUUUUAAUGUUUUAAUAUAAAUACACAGAAAUAAGAAAUCCUAGAAUAUACCACAUUAUUACUACAUUAGUAAUGAAUUGAUUGACUUAUAAUAACAAUGAGUUAACACAGAGAAGAUAUACAUCAUAAAUUAAAUAUUAUAUCAUUGAAGCAACACAAAUAAAUAGAUUAUUAUUUAAUAUUUAUAACUGGUUACCGAUAACAUACAUUAUUAUUUUACAGUCUAAUUAAAUGAUAGGUUAUAGAAUUUUCAAUAUGAAUAAAAAGUUUUGAUAUUUAACAUGUUAUAAAUAUUUAAAAUAACAUCGAAAUGUUUAUGGCAUUGUGAGUUUUGACUAUGUUUCAGCCCAAUAGUAUGUUACAAGUUUAGAUCAAAUAGUAUCGAAAAAAGGAAGCACCCUUAGAUUCUUUUACAACUGAAAAUCCAAAAAUUAAACGAAUCCCAGACUAUUAAAGGUAAGACGGGGAGGAAAGUAGAAAACACAAAUACUUUAAAAACUGUUGAACAUGGACUGACAAUGAUCAUAUCUAAUUAUCUAUAUUCUAUGGCGAUUUCCCUGUUGGAACAAUCAGACAUAGUAAUAAUAAAUAACGCCGAUUUCCAUAAUUCUGAACAAUACUUUAGUCUGCAGUAACUCACAAGGUGUAGAUAGAUAGAAUGGGAAAUGGAGCUUGUGUUUAAUUCCUUAGAUGGUGAUACUAAUUCAAUUCAAUAUUUGGAAUAAAAAUGACUCAGUCUAAACCAACUCAAAUGACUUGUUUCCAAAUAGUGUUGGCACUUCGCAGAAUUAAUGGAUUUGGAUAUUAACAUAAGCAAAAAUUGAAAAAAUACUAAAAUAUUUUUAAUUGAAAAAAACUAUUUUAAAAUACGUAUAAUUCAUUCAACUAUAAGAGAUUUCUUAUUGUUGUAUUAAUAGUACAAAAUAAGAAUCGGAAUACCUCUUGACUUCUCCUUUUAGUUGUUUGGAGAACUCACUGAAAAUGCCAAACUGUCGUGAACCGAAAGGUUCAAUAUUCGUAUUCAAUCUCAAAGACCUACCACUUGAAAUCUGAUCAAAAAUUAUUAGAAAAAUAUGUGUUUAGAAAACCAAAAAAUAAUCCACUGGGAAUAAAAAAUAGGGCAAACAUUCCAAAUAAAAGAUGUUGCUUUCGUAAAUACCUCUUGACACCGGUGAAAGUUGAGGGAGAAAGGGUGACGGUGUUUCCGAGUAAGAAGCAAAUCACGAGCAAUCUUCCUGCUAGCCAUUAGAUAAUCUUCACCUCUAUUUUCAAACUCACCCUUUCUUUUUCUCCAACGAUGAUUAAUGGCUUGAUAUUUAUUUAUGCCUCAAACUAUAAAGAAGGAAAAAGCUUUACCUAGAACUAACCAGAGGUGUGUGAGUGAAGCCGGUAAGAAGACGGACGGCAAGGUUAGAGUUUUAGCCUUUUAGGGUUAGACUCUUUCUUACAGAAUACAAACGACAAGGUAAUAAUUUUUUGUUUUCCGAAUUUCUGUGUCGAAAUUAUUUUGGAUUUAUAUUUUAGUAAUGGGCAAUUUCCGAACUUCACAAUUUGUGUUUUAUAAAAGGGGAAAAACAAAUAAUAGGUAUUUAUUAAAAUUACUAAUCUAAAUUCUAAUAUAUUUUUUUGAUAAUAUAUCAAUGAUUAUAUAAAAAUUAAGAUUAAAUCCUGAAUACUCUAUAUGGUUGUUAGAGUAUCGGUGCUAUAUAUAUUACAUAUGGAAGUGAGAUCUUUUACAAUGAACCCAAAUGUGAUUGACGAAUCAUAAUCAUUCAUAUUUAAUUUAACGAUGAUGAGAGUUUAUUAAAAGAUGUACUUACGGAAGGUAACCCUACAUUACCAUACUUCAAAGGAAUUCAUGGAUAGCAAGGAGAACCUAGACAGAUCGAUAUAUUCGUAAUACAUUCUUAUCUGGAUCCAAUCAUUUCGUUAAUUUUAUACAUCAAUCUCUCAUUUGAUCUGAAGUAUUAUAAAAAAGUUGUCACUUUUUGGAAACUUUUAUGAUGAAAAUAUAAAAAACUAAUAUUCUGAAACAACGUAUCUAGCUAUUUUACAACUAAACUACAUAACUAAUGAAAAAGUGUUAACAAAUUUGUUGUUUAUUUUUUUUACUUAUAUUUGUAUUUCUAUUCUUUAUGUUAUAAUUUGAACAAUGUAAUUCUUUUCAAUUAAAUUUAUUUGUUUAAAAAAAAAUCUACUGUAAAGGAAGGAAGGUUGUAUAAAGAGUACAUUCCAUUGUACAAAUUAGCCAACGAUAAUUAGUCAUUAGACACAUAAGAUUAACAAAUUCUCCUUAUGUAGUUGGAGAAUUAGGUUAAGAAAAUUACCCACUAAAGUACAGGUAUAAUAUGUAAGUGUAAGACUCUUAGAUGAAUAGGGUAAGCUUUCAUAUUCAAGAUAAAUUUCAGUUCAUUCAAUGUGAAAUUGAAUUCAAGGAGCCAAUUCUCAAACCGCGAUAGUGUUGCAUUUACAAUUUUACAUUGAGAGUUUUUUUCAAAGUAAGCUAAUCUUUUCUAGAGAGAGAGAGAGAUGUAAUAGAAUGCACAUCAUAUCCUAUCCCCUUGCAAAGAGAGAAACAUAGAACUACAGAAAAUACCAAAGUUAUAUUUAAUCCGAACAAAGUUCAAAGUAGAAGUACAAAUCAGACAAUAUCCGAAUUACAUUGGAAAAAUAAAAAAGAUAGAAAAGAAAGAUGAAUUACACUUUUCAAUUGACUAUGCUACCAAAUGAGAAUCGAUUAGAUUGGUGUUUCACAUCUGAAGUGUAGUGGUCUACAAAGAAUGACUAUCACUAAGUAAAUUUUGUUUCUUUAUGAAAAAUGAAAUUUUAACUCUUGCAAAUUUUGUUUUGUUUUAAUAUUUUAGCUAGCUCAUCAAUCACUGAUGUUAAAAUGAAAUAGUUUAAUAUAAUAGUGGGAAAAUUAGAUGUUAUUUGUUAACCUUACAUUAAAAAUUUAUAAAAAAAAAUCAAUAUAGAUUUUUUUUUAAAGAAACGGUUUAUAUUUUUUUACAAUUUUUCAGCAACUGCCUAAUGAUAAAAAUGACAGUUUUUUUGUUGUUUUAAAAAAUAAAAUUACCAAAAAAAAAACAAUUACAAUUUCUACUUAUAACUUAUAAGGCUAAAAAAUAAAAUGAGGCUAAAAAAAAUUAUUGACAAUGUCAAAACUGCAUGAUAGACUGAAAUUUCAUAUCAUGUUGCUUUCGUAAAUGAAACCUACAAUGUACAAAUUCAUGCUGUAAUGAUGAGAAGUAAAAACUUAUCAUGUUUUGCUCACGUCAGCAAAAUUCCUGAUGAUUUUUUUCAGAGCUCUGCCACCUCUCCCUUGUGGCCGCAUAUUGCCAUUUCGUAUAGAAUCAUUUUCCCUGCUAGCUAGAUAAUCUGAAGCUGCCACUACGAGGGUUUCCUUCCAGAUGGUUACUAAGUAAUUUAUCUCAUUUUGUUUCAGAUACUCUUCAGGAAGGCAAUCCAUCUAAGAUAUUCAAAAGAAAGGUUUCUAAAUUAAGGAAAAAAGGCCUGAUAUAUAAUCACACAAAAAUAGAGAAAGAAUUCAGUCCUAUAUAUAUGGAACCUUCGGAGUGUCAUUAGAUGCUUAUCAUGACAUAUCUGGACAAAAAAAAAUAAAAGAUACAUACAAAACACCAGUAGGCUUCCUGAGAUAGUUCUUAAGGAAGUCAUUAAAGACAUCAGUCUGUCUCUCCUUUGGACCGGAGUGUCAUAAGAAAAGCUGUUGUCAUCCUUUGGAGACAUCAACAAUGGAAGUGUGGGAGACCAACCUUCUGAGGCAGCGUAUCUAGUUAUACAACUAGAUUGAGAGAAAGUCAAUGAACUUUUUGCUUAUUUCUUUGUACUUCUUGUAUCUAUAAAUUUUUGGAGAAAGUUAAUGAACUUCUUGUUCAUUUCUUUGUACUUCUUGUAUCUAUAAUUUUUUUACUCUAUAUAAUCUGGGCAUUGCCCUUAAUUUGUUAAAUAAAAAUUUAAUUUCUUUCAAAAAAAAAAAGUCCUGUAUCUCAUGCCUUAGCAACUAUAGAAUGACACAACAUUAUCCCCUAUGCAGAAGUAAUAUAAGACCUAAGAGCAUUAUAGACAGAUAAUAUAAGCAUUUGGUCUAGAAUGCCUUCUAAGUUUUCUGUCCUGUUAUGGAGAAUCAAAUGGAAAUUCCCUUGCUUCAAAAAAAAGAAGGAAAUUCCCAAACACCAUAACCAGACUCCAAUCUUAGAGUAUAAAUCUAUAAACAACCAAUCUCCGAUGUUGAACAGAAGAAGAAUCCAUCCAUCCCUAUUUUUUACCAAGGUGCUUAACUCUGCCAUUUGGGAAGUUAGAUACGAUCAUGACAACAAAAUGGGUGAUGCCAUUGGAUAGUUCACACAAAGGGCAGGUUGUUGGGGCGCCCACCGGUUAUUUCUAAGAUCCUUAGCUUAGCACACAUGGAAUGAAAGAAACUGUAGACUAAAACAACACACACUUAGACCCCCAGAAAGUGUAAGCAGGGAUAUUUUAAGCGAUGUGAGUAUUGUGUAUGGUGUCACACCCUAUAGGAAAAUAAAUCUCAGAUUGAAAAUCAGGCUCUAUUCCUAUCGGAGUUCAACGUCUUAAUGCCUAGAAUCUAGUUGUAUAUGAGAGUGACAAUAGUUUUCAUUUCCCUAUAUUUCUACUUGGGACAUGCCCACCCUUCUACUUGCAAUAAUGAAAUCUUUAAAUUCAUCAAAAAAGAAAGAAAAUAAAAAGGUAUAGAAAAUGACCGUUGAUUGAAGCCAAUGAAACAGAGAAUUCCAAGAGAUGGCUGUUUUCCAUUUGCUUUGGACACAGAUCUGAAAAAUUGAGGCUAUCUGCUGUAAAAUUGUUGCAGACUUGUGAACCUGUACCCAACGAUAAAUAUGAUAUAGUUGAAGAAAGAUUAAAAGAAAAUUGUAAAACUGGUAUGAAAAAUUAAAUGCACAUGAAAGAAAAAAUUAAAGGGAACUUCAGAAUGUUUUGUUUUCAGUAAUCAAUUAAUCACGAAAUAAAAUACAAGAAAGAGGACAGGGCUACAGGGUUUCACCAGACUGCAGUUAAAUAAAAUCAAAACAAAUAUAUUUCUGUAAGAAUUUUGUGAAACCAGUUCUUUUUUGCUACUAGAGGAUAACCUACUAUUCAGCCUGAAGUAAUAGUUGUCUUAAAUCCAUUAUGGGAAGGUGGAAAAUUAAGUUUCUCUGACUUCAAGUAUGAAAAACCCCUGACACUCUAUACUCACAGAAGUUCAAAGUAUCAUAAUAAUGCAGUAAACAAUCAAUGAAAUUAAACAAUUACCACAGAAACGUGUGGGGAGAGCAAUCUGAAAAAAUCCAGCACUUCAGAUUGAAGAAUAGAUGGUUUAUUGGAAUCCACCAAUAAAUGCUACUAGAAUCCACUAGUAGGGAAUAGGAAAAUCAGAUAGGAAUCCACCUGAUCCGAUGAGAAAAAUGAGAAAGGAUCGCAAGAUCUGAAAAAAGUAGGAGAGAGAAAAUAUUGGGUAUUCACCUUGGAAAAAUUGUAAUCCCCUCCUUCUUUGAGUCCACUCCUAUUUAUACUCCCAAUAUUUAAGAGUGGAAAUUCCAUAUUGGGAGUUGGUCAGUCCAAUUAAAGGGACUGAGCCAUGGCUCAAGCCAAUGACCUUGUAGAUCAUUGCAAUGGGCUACAUCAGGCGGCCCUUCUUGAGGUGCAGUUGCCCUCAAUUGCUCAUCACUAUACUCAGAAGGAUAAUACUUCUUUAGAUCAGCCACAUUGAAUGUUGCAGACAUAUUGAAUUCUUUCGGUAAGUCCACAAUAAAGGCAUUGUCAUUCACUUUCUUCAAGAUUUUGCAAGGUCCAAAUUCCUGUUUUUCAAUUUGGAGUAAGUGCCUGCUGGAAAUCUCUCUUUUUUCAAAUGAACCAUCACUAAUUCAUCUUCUUCAAAUUUUUGAAACCUUUUGUGUUUAUCUGCUAAUUCUUUGUAUUUCAGGUUAUUUUUUUGCAGAGCCUCUAUCACUUGUUUAUAUACUGCUUUGCUGUUUUCUAUUAUUUCCUCCACUUUUCUGUUUUCAGAAUUAAUAGAAUUUACAUCCAUUACAUUUUUGGGAAGGUGCCCAUAUGUUGCUAAGAAUGGGGCACAACCAAUAGAUCUGUUCGGCAUACUAUUGAACGCGAAUUCUUCUUGUCGUAGACAAAGGUCCCACUGUUUUGGAUUUUCUCCAACUAAAGGUCUCAACAGAUUACCUAAGGUUCUGUUUACAACUUCUGUCUGGCCAUCAGUUUGAGGAUGACAAGUUGUGUUGAAUUUCAGACUUGUAUCGAACCUUUGCCAUAGAAUUUUCCAAAAAUGAGACAAAAAUUUAGUAUCUCGAUCUGACACUAUGGAGUUAGGAAUCCCAUGAAUUCUAACUAUUUCUUUGAAAAAUAACUUAGCGAUAUGUGAGGCAUCACUAGUUUUCUUGCAAGGAAUGAAAUGAGCCAUUUUUGAAAAACGGUCUACUAUCACAAAAAUAGAGUCAAGUCCUCCUCUAGUUUUUGGCAGCCUCAAAAUAAAAUCCAUGGACAAAUCAGUCCAAGGUGCUUUUGCCACUGGAAGUGGUGUGUAUAAACCUGUGUUCUGAUGACUCCCUUUGGCUAUUUGACAUAUAUGACAUCUUUGGAUAAAUUUUUCUACCUCUUUUUUUUGACUCGGCCAAUAAUAUCUAUCUUCAAGUUGUGUAAGUGUUUUGUCUCUCCCAAAGUGUCCAGCCAGCCCACCAGCAUGUAUUUCUUGAAUUAACUGCAAUCUCAGUGAGGUCCUCGGUAUACAGAGUUUGUUGUUUUUGAAUAAGAAUCCUUCAUGAAUUUUGAACCCUUGAUUACAGUUACUUCUCAAACAUUGAUCCCAUAUUUGAGCAAAAUCUUCAUCAGAUUCAUAUAAUUCUUUCAAGGUGUCAAAAGAUGUGACUUCCAAUCUCAUAAUAGUUAGUAGAGAGUUUCUCCUACUAAGAGCAUCAACCACUUUGUUGCUCUGGCUUGAUCUGUGUUUGAUGGUGAAUUCGAACCUUUGUAAGAAUGCAAACCAUCUGCUAUGCAUUCUACUAGAAUCAGAAGUCCCAUUGAUUUGCUUUAGUGCUAAGUGAUCUGUUAAGACAACAAACUCCCUUUGAAUCAAGUAUGGUUCCCAGAUAGGUAUAUUAAAGAAAAGGCGUUUAAUGACAUACAAAUCAGGCUUACUGUGGAUUCGCAUUUUUGGAAAGCUUUUGUUUCAGAAAGAAGCCUAGUGGAUAAAUGUUUGGAUUGUAGGGCCAAUAGUACGAUUGUGUGGAAAUCUGGUACUCCGAUAAAUAAAUUGGGAGGAAUAGUGGAAAGUAUUAGAGAUAGAAAGCAUAAAGACAUGUUAGCUGAGGUUAUUUGGUCGAAGAUGCCGACAAAAUCCUCUAUUCUCUUGUGGAGGGUGAAAUGGGAUCACCUAAACACGUUCAGGAAGUUAAGAAGUUGGAGAGUACAAGUACCUCCUGCUUGCUUGUUAUGCAAUCUGGAAGAUGAAACUAGGAGUCAUCUUUUCUUUAACAGUUCUUAUUCCAGAUCUCUUUUAAUUCCGUUGGCGGAACACCUGGAUUUCGCUUUCUGGAAAAUAAUGAAUAUUCCAGUUCCCACCCAAUCCAGUCCAGAUAUUAGAUUGGGGGAUCUGACGGAGGCAGCACAAAAGAUUACGCGCCACUCUCUCCCUUGGGGGCUAAUAUGGAAUGCUACUGGGUGCUUGUUGUGGCAUAUAUGGACGGAAAGAAAUAAAAGGUAUAGGCAACACAUUAGUAGGCCUCUAGAGGUAGUCCUUAAGGAGGUCAUUAAAGACACCAGUCUCUCCUUUGAUUCAGUGUAUUACAAGAAGAGUUGUUGUCACCCUUUGGAGACAUCUAUGAUGGAAGUAUGGAAGACCAACCUCCUGAGGCAGCGUAUCUAGUUACUGUAUAACUAGACUACAUAGCUAAUGGGAGAGAGUCAAUGAGUUUUUUGCUCAUUUCUUUUUACUUCUAUUUUUAUUUUUAUUUUCUAUUUUUGUAAACCUGACAUUAGCCUUAUUCUAAUGAAAUUUAAUUGCUUCAAAAAAAAAAAAAGUUAUUGUUUAUAUUUGGCAUAUAUGGGAAGACAACAUUACCAUAGUGUUAUUGUUUAAAUAGAACAAUCUCCUUGGAUCUUGUAGAACACAAGAGAUAACUCUUCCUCUAUGAACUUGCAACCAAACUGAUUUUUCUUUAUGACCACACACCCUGUUGAUGCAUACCAUUUGGAAUUUGAGAAUGGAAUUACAUUAAAAAGUGUCUUGUGAGCUUGUCUUUAUUUUUUAUUCUUGCUCUUAGAUAUAGACCGGUCACUGUGGCAUGGCAUUUACAGAUCGAUUGACUUCAAUCUGUUGUUGAUCUCCAUAGAGAGGUGCUCUGGGAUUAACAUAUUGUAUAUGUAGUUAUGUACAGGCCAAACUAUAAAAUGAGAGAGAGAGAACGGCACUAAUUCAAGGGUUGACGAUUCCAAAAGGUAUGGAAGAUGUUAUGUAUCUUACCAAUUUUCAUGAUUAAUAAAGUUACCCAAUUCUCAAAAAAAGUAAAUGCAAAACAACAAGCUGAUAAUUGCAUAUCCAAGGUAACCUAAAAAAAGUAGAUAAAUUACCCUUGACAAAGCUGAUGGACCAAGCAAAGCAUGUAUUAUAUUAGAUAUAAGCCCUUCACCACUAUGCAAUAACACUUGAGUUGCAAUUGCACUAAAGGAGACCUCUGAAAAACGCGUCUCAUAUUCCAAGAGAGAUCUAAUUGUAAUUUCCAAGAAACCUGUAAAAAAUAAUCAAGGAAAGCCAGGAAGAAAUCAAUAUCCCUAACAGCAAAAAAUCCCAUCCAAACAUCACUAAACGAGCUACUUUUGCAUCUAAACUUCUAAAGUCUAGACAAGCAGUAUUAUGUAAGUCUACAUAUAAAUAAAAGAGAAAUUGAAAAAAUUAAACAAUUUAAAAGAAAAAUCCACAUUACUGACUAAAACAAUAAAACCAUACACUUUUAUGUGUCUAUCAGAUACGAUGUCAGCAAAUGAUCAUUUUUUUACAAAUGAUUCUAAUGAAAUCUGUCCACAAAUGGGAAAAAAGAAGAGUUUAUACUUUACAGAAAGUAUUGGUAAAAAUAUGAACAGAAAACUACCUCCUACUCUAUUAGUUAGUUAGGCUUUAUUGUAAUUAAUAUAAUUAAUGAAUGUGGUGUUUUAAAAUUUAGUAGAGGAAUAAACGAAAUGUGGUUAGAUCUAAAUCUGUAUAAAUAAGAGACCAUCAAUGCUAAGAAAGGGUUCAGAUUUUGGAAUCAUUUCCCCCAAAUCUAAGUUGGUAUCAGAGUAUAGGGAAAUUAGAUCCCGUUCUUUUUUUAUUACAAGCUGUUAGAUAGCUAGUCAUCAUAGAAGAGUCUGCAAAUGGAGGUGUUACCACUCGACUGAAAAGGUUGUCUACAUCGAACGUUAAAUUGACAUUGCUGGAUAGGGAUAACUACUUCCCCUGGAGGGCACAAUUUGCUUGUCUUCAAUGGUUAUGAGUUUCUACCAUCCUUGAUGGGAGCAGAAACACUUACAGAUCCGGUUGCUCGACGAUAGGAUAAAUGGUUCUUGUAUACUUGUUGACAUAAAUUUCAGCGGCAAUAUUUCUCAAGUAACAAGAUAUUGCACAUCUGCUGAAGUAUGGAGCACACUUCAAAGAAUGUUCACAUCCAGCUCCUGAUCAAAUAUUAUGAGUCUUCAGCAGAAGAUUCGCAUUGUGCGAAAAGGCCAUCGCUCCUGAUCAAAUGAUGGUGUUUGUAUUCCCCAUCUGACAAGUUUGCCGAAAAUUGUUAAGUAUCUCCAUGUAACCCACCAUAAUAUUAUUGAGAUUUUUUCGGGCAUUUGUGACCAUAUUCCUUGUGGUAGGGGGUCCAUAUGGCUAGAAGGUCAGAUUUGUUGGGUAAAUUUCCCCAAUUUGUUAAUUGGGGAGUCUUUCUUCCAAUUAAUUGUGUAAUUUGUCUCACACGUCAGUCAACUGUACUCUCGAACUGUAGGUCCUCCAAUGCUUGUCUUCUAAUGUAUCUUUCUUCGAUCCAUUUUACUAGAAUAGAGGACCCCUCUCCCCAGAAACUGGAAGCUCUUUUCAAAGCCACUACCCUGGUUAUGAUUGGCAAGUUCCUGACCCUUAAUCCUCCUUCCCUUUUAGGAAGAACUAUUUUCUCCCAUGGUCCUCCUUUCCUUCCAUCCCAUAUAAAUCGAUAUGCUACUUUCCUAAUAUUUGUUAUUACUGAGCUGGGAAGUGUUUUUUUUUUUGAAGCAAUUAAAUUUCAUUAGAAUAAGGUUAAUACCAAGUUUACAAAAAUAGAGUAUAGAAAUAAAAAUAGAAGUAAAAAAAAUGAGCAAAAGCUCAUUGACUCUCUCCUAUUAGCUAUGUAGUCUAGUUAUAUAGUAACUAGAUACGCUGCCUCAGGAGGUUGGUCUCCCAUACUUCCAUCAUAGAUGUCUCCAAAGGGUGACAAUAACUCUUCUUGUAAUACACCAGCGCCGCUUAGAGAGUUUGAGUUAUGUGGGUUCCACAUUUCCACCGCCAAUUUAAUCCAACGAUCACAAAUUCAUCGGAAAUAGAAAGGUGAAAUAAAAAAAAAGUAGUUGAAAUUCAAACAGAAAACUCGCUACAAUUUCAUAAAACCCUAAAAUCAAAUGGGAAAAAAUUGACGACGACAAACAAACUAAUGUAGGUGAUGAUAUGGGUGAAGAGAAUAAUCAGAAAAAAAAGGGGAUGAAAGGGAGAAAACAAGGAACAAUUUCCUGUUCACGAAUUCCCUGUUUGUAUCUCACAAACAGAGUUCAGAUCUUGCAUAAAAGUUAAUUCUAAUCCAAGAAUUAACCCUAAAUUGCCAGAUUCGAAAAUAACAAGAAAAGGCAAGAAAAGAUGGAAUACCAAAGAGCAAAUGAGAGUUACCUGGAAUAAGGAAAUUAACUCUCAAAAAACUGCUGCCUCUUUGUUGUCCACUCUUAUUUAUACUCUCAUGGUGUGAGAGUGGAAAUUCCACCAUGAGAGUCCAAGCCCAUUUUAUUGGGCUUGGUCCAUGGGUCGAAUUAAUUCGAACCCAUGGGAGAUGAGAACUUGGUCUGCAUUAGGCGACCCCACUUGGGAAUCAAUUGUCCUCAAUUGAGCAUCUUCAUCCUCUGGAGGGUAAAAUUUCCUCAAAUCAGCAACAUUGAAGGUUGAAGACAUAUUGAACUCUUGAGGAAGGUCUAUGACAUAUGCAUUAUCGCUGAUUUUCUUUAGAAUCUUGCAUGGUCCGAAGUUCCUAUCUUUCAAUUUAGAAUAUGAUCCUGCUGGAAAUCUGUCCUUUUUUAGAUGAACCAUAACUAAUUCAUCAUCUUUAAAACUGAUUGCUCUUCUGGACCUAUCGGCUCUUUUUUUGUACAAGUCAUUUGAUCUUAUGAUUGCUUCUGCCACCUGUUUGUGUAUUGUUUUGCUAUUUUCCAGAAUAUCUUCAACUUUUCUGUUUUCUGUAGGAAUAGAAGAAAUAUCCAUCACAUUCUUGGGAAGGUGACCAUAUGCAACCAUGAAAGGUGCCAUCCCUGUAGAUCUGUUUGGCAUGCAGUUAAAAGCAAAAUUCAGCUUGUGCCAAACUUUGAUCCCACUGUUUUGGUUGCUCUCUUGCCAAGGUUCUUAACAGAUUACCUAGUGAUCUGUUCACAACUUCAGUUUGACCAUCUGACUGCGGAUGACAGGUUGAACUGAAUUUCAGAUCUGUAUCGAAUCUUUUCCAAAGUAUUCUCCAAAAAUGGGAGAGAAAUUUUGUAUCUCUAUCCGAGACAAUGGAUUUUGGGAUUCCAUGCAGUCUAAUCACCUUAUUAAAAAAUAAUUUCGCUAUAUGAGAAGCAUCAUUUGUUUUUUUGCAUGGGAUGAAGUGGACCAUCUUUGAAAAUCUGUCCAUGACUACAAAUAUAAAAUCCAAUCCUUUAUUAGUCUUUGGAAGUCCUAAGACAAAAUCCAUUGACAGGUCAGCCCAAGGUUCUUUGGGUACAGGUAGUGGAGUGUAUAACCCAGUGUUUUGCUGACCUCCUUUAGUUUGUUGGCAUCUUGUGCACCUCUGAACGAAUCUCUCUACCUCUUUUUUUAUACCAAGCCAGUAGUAUCUACUUUCCACUUGUGCUAGAGUUUUGUCUCUUCCAAAGUGGCCAGCCAAUCCACCUGAAUGUAAAUCCUUUACUAGUUGUAACCUCAAAGAAGUUUGAGGAAUACCUAGCCUGUUGUCCUUGAAAAGAAACCCUUCACUAAUUCUGAAUCCCUUGCUGUUGUCACUAUGUAGACAUCUGUCCCAGAUUUCUGAGAAAUCUUCAUCUGUUGGGUACAAUUCUUUUAAGGCCUCAAAAGCUACCACUUCUACCCUUAAUAUUGUCAAUAAGGAACUCUUUCUGCUUAGGGCAUCAGCUACUUUAUUACUGGCACCAGAUCUGUGUUUUAUGGUGAAUUCGAAUCUUUGUAAAAAUGAGAACCACCUGCUAUGCAUUCUAUUAUUGUCAGAGGUUCCAUUGAUCUGUUUUAAUGCUAUGUGAUCAGUCAAUACUACAAAUUCUCUCUGCACUAGAUAAGGUUCCCACACUUUGCAAGCUCUAACCACUGCAUACAACUCUUGUUCAUAAGUUGUCCAAUUUUUUCUGCUAGCUGUGAGUUUCUCACUGUGAAAUGCUACUGGGUGCCCUUUCUGACUCAAAACAGCUCCCACUCCACAAAUACUUGCAUUACAUUCCACUUCAAAUAUUUUGUUGAAAUCUAGCAAGGCUAACACAGGUGCUAUUAAUAUUUUUUUUUUUUUAAUUUCUGUAAGCUUCUUCAGUCCACAUAAACUUGCCCUUCUUCAAGCAAUCAGUAAUGGGACUAGCAAUUGAACUGAAUUUUUUAAUAAAUCUCCUAUAGAAGGAAGCUAACCCCAUGAAACUGCGCACUUCAGUAAUGGAAGAAGGGGUUGGCCAGUUUACUUCUAUUUUUUAUUUCUAUUCUCUAUUUUGUAAACUUGACAUUAGCCUUAUUCUAAUGAAAUUUAAUUGCUUCAAAAAAAAAAAAGGGGUUGGCCAGUUUUGUAGUGCCUCUGUUUUCUUUGGAUCCAUUUUCAUCCCAUGAACCCCAAUAAUGAAUCCUAGAAAACAUAAUUCUUCAGUAAAAAAUUCACAUUUCUGCAAAUUUAUUUUUAAUUUAUUUUCAUCCAAAAGCUUGAAAACUGAAGUAACAUAUCUGCAAUGAUCUUGUUUACUCUUGCUGAAAAUCAAGAUAUCAUCGAAGUAUAUCACUACACAAGAUCCCAACAGUGGUUUCAAUACUUCAGUCAUCAACCUCAUAAAUGUGGAUGGUGCAUUUGACAAGCCAAAUGGCAUCACCAUCCACUCAUAUAGUCCUUGUCUAGUUUUAAAUACUAUUUUUCACUGAUCUCCUUCUCUUAUUCUGAUCUGAUGGUACCCACUCUUCAUAUCCAUUUUUGAAAAAAAUUGAGCUCCAGCCAAGGACUCCAACAGUUCAUCUAUCCUUGGUAUUGGGAAUCUGUAUUUAACUGUUAUUUUAUUUAUUGCUCUGCUGUCAACACACAUCCUCCAAGUCCCAUUUUUUUUGGUACUAGGAGUGCUGGCACCGCACAAGGGCUUAAGCUCGUCCUAAUCAGCCCAUCUUCUAAUAAUUUUUCAACCUGAUUUUGUAGGAUUUCAGCCUCAUUGGGACUCAUCCUACAGUGAGGAAGGUUUGGUAGUGAAUCUCCUGGUACUAGGUCUAUUCUGUGAUCAAUAGCCCUAAUUGGUGGAAGAAUAUUUUCAACACUAGCCAACACAAUUGAGGGAAAUUUGCUAAGAAUUGUUUGAGCCACUUCUGGAAUUUCUUUUAUUUCAGAACUGUCUUCCUUCUGAUAUUUAAUUACCACUGCUAGACAUUUUUGUUCUUCUCUUAAUUCUUGUAGAAACUCUGGUAUCUGCUGGAGUAAGAAAUUUGUUUUAGUAUCCUUCUUUGUGUUAGAAUCAGGAAGUAGUGGCAAGAGAGCAACUUUUCUGUCAUCAGCCUGAAAUACAUAUGUAUUUAGUCUCCCAUGAUGUGUGGCAUUCACAUCAUAUUGCCAUAGUCUACCUAGUAAUAUGUGAGUUACAUCCAUAUCAACUACAUCACAAACUAUAGUAUCCUUGUAUCCUUUUCCAAUGGAGAGUGGUACCUUGCACAAAUAUUUAAUUCUAGCUUCAUCCCCAUUUUUUAUCCACCCAAUAGAAUAUGGUUUUGGGUGUUCCUCCAUUUUCAGUUCUAAUUUUUUUGCUGCUUUUUCUGAUAUCAGAUUAUCUGUGCUUCCAUUGUCAAUUAUGAUUUGACAAGUUUUUCCCUUAACAGUUCCUUUGGUGCGGAAUAAAUUUGUUCUCUGCACUUGAUCAAUUUUUUUAGGUAUGUGACAAGUUUUGUGGAUCAAACAAGACAGGCUUGACCCUUCAUCAGGAUUAUAUUCUUCUAUUGACCCGCUAGAGUCAUCAGAAUUAUAGAUAACAACACCAUAUCUAAUUCCUUCACAAAGCCUAACAGCUCCUUUUUUGGGACAGUUGUUUGCUUUAUGACCCAUCUCUUGGCAUUUGUAGCACCUCACAACACCUCAACCCUGAUUGUCACUGCUGGCUUUUUCCCCUUUGUUUCAUCAUUUGCUAUCUCAGUUGCUGUUUUUUCUGUUUGGCCAACUGAAAUUCCUUUUCCUUUGUAAUAAUUAUUUUUACUAGAGCUCCCUACUGAAAAUGAUGAGUAUUUUGCUCCUUGUCUCUUCAGUUGCUCAAAAAUACUCACUGUUUUCAUCAAGGACAUAGGUGAUUGCAACAUCACUUUUUCUUGUAAGUUUGAUUUUAAUCCUUCAAUGUAUCUUGCCAUUUGUUGUUCUUCUUAUUCCAUUAGGUUGUUCCUAGCUCCCAAACGAUGGAACUCCUCUGUGUACUCAGCUACUGUCCUUUUUCCUUGCUUGCAUUUUUGGUAUUGAGUAAAUAAUAUGCUCUGAAAUUCCAUUGGUAGGAACCUCUCUUUAAGAAUUUUUUUCAGCUUCUCCCAUAUAGUUAUUGGUCUCUUCUGAAAUUUUUCUCUAUUUGUGGUGGUCUGAUCCCACCAAGCAGCUGCUCCCCCUUUAAAUUUUAGGGCGACUAGCUUCACUUUCUUUGUUUCAGGAAUAUCCAUGUAAUCGAAAAAUCUUUCUACCUCAGAUAGCCAAUCUAGGAACUGCUCAAUGUGUAGCUUCCCAUUAAAUUCUGGAAUUUCCAUUCACAAUCUGUAAUUCUCAAAUUCAUUGUCUCUUCUGUGUCUACCUCUUUCUUACACUUCUAGUGCACCUCCUCUGUAAUUGCCUCCAUUUCUGCCUCUGUUAGUACCAUGUUUUCCUCUGUUUCUCUGGUACUGAAUCACAUUUUCCUGCUCUUCCUCAUCAGAAAAAUCAGAAAAAUAUUGUUGUUGGUCUCUCGUGUAUGGAACUCUCUCUUGUUGGAUUUGUUGUUCCAAUCUCUCCCGGGCAGUUGUGUUGGUUCUUGUCCUGUUCUGAUGUAUGAUCUGUGCUCUCUUGCUGUUGCAAGAUCAAAAAGCCUUGUCGAACCGUUGUUGACAGGUCCGCCAAUGCCUUACUGAGUCGGUCUAACUCUUCACGAGAAACAGGUGCUGCCAUCGCCAACGAUCGAUUCCCGCCUAGACUGAUACCACUUAAUGUAGGCGAUGAUAUGGGUGAAGAGAAUAAUCAGAAAAAAAAGGGGAUGAAAGGGAGAAAACAAGGAACAAUUUCCUGUUCACGAAUUCCCUGUUUGUAUCUCACAAACAGAGUUCAGAUCUUGCAUAAAAGUUAAUUCUAAUCCAAGAAUUAACCCUAAAUUUCCAGAUUCGAAAAUAACAAGAAAAGGCAAGAAAAGAUGGAAUACCAAAAAGCAAAUGGGAGUUACCUGAAAUAAGGAAAUUAACUCUUAAAAAACUGUUACCUCUUUGUUGUCCACUCUUAUUUAUACUCUCAUGGUAUGAGAGUGGAAAUUCCACCAUGAGUCCAAGCCCAUUUUAUUGGGCUUGGUCCAUGGGUCGAAUUAAUUCGAACCCAUGGGAGAUGAGAGCUUAGUCUGCAUCACAAACACACCACUUCUUACUUCCUAGAACGAGUGGUUCUAGAAUUUCGGAUUCCGACCGUCGGAGUAAAACCGAAAGUGCUACCCUUGGUCGACGAUCUGAGCCUCAGAUUGUCAUUGGAAACAACGCCUGCGGAAGCGGGUAUGGCGCUGGAGAAGGAGGAUCGUACGGCUCCGACACCGCUAAAAUCGACUAGUGGAGGAAGAGAUUUCCUCAGUCUUCUUCUCACUCAUCACGGGAGGAAGAGAUUUCCUCAGAUUCUCAGUCUUUUUUUUUUUUUUUUUUUUUGAAGCAAUUAAAUUUCAUUAGAAUAAGGCUAAUUCCAAGUUUACAAAAACAGAGAAUAGAAAUAAAAAUAGAAGUAAAAAGAAAUGAGCAAAAAGCUCAUUGACUCUCUCCCAUUAGCUAUGUAGUCUAGUUAUACAGUAACUAGAUACGCUGCCUCAGGAGGUUGGUCUCCCAUACUUCCAUCAUAGAUGUCUCCAAAGGGUGACAACAGCUCAGUCUUCUUCUUACUCAUCAAGGGAGGAAGAGAUUUCCUCAAAUUCUCAGUCUUCUUCUUACUCAUCACGCUUUUCCUUUUCUUCAUCAACUCCGAUCUGAGAACCACGCCGAGAUCUUUGUUAUUGUUCCUCUUCGGCGUGGCUACAAGGAUAUUCUCUUCGUCGCCCAUCUUCUUCCACCUCAUCAACCUCUCGUUCCUCCGCGCAACGUACUCAUCGUAGCGCGGUUCUCUCUUGAAGAGAAGAGCGGGCUUUCUUGCCAACUUACAUAGCUCCAGAUAUAAAGCAGGGCACUCUGGAUAGAAAAAUCCGUACUGAUCAUCUUCGCUGAAGAUUUCCAUCCUCGAUCCCGAUGCUGACGAUGAAAUGAUCGUCGGUUUAGGAGAUUCGAUCGGAGGAGAAGGUGAUGCUGAGAUUUCUACAAGAGGAGGAAGAACACGACGGGACCGGAGGCGGCGUGGUGAGAUGACCAACGGACGCUUCCCUCGGAUCUGUUUCAUGGAGCUAUUGGCUGUUUGAUUCAUGGGAAUUGUGGUUCCUUGAGCCCAAUACGUGUAGAUUCCAGCAACUACCCAAUUUACUAUUUGGAUUAUGUCCACAUAUGAAAGGCAUUUCCCUUUCCAUUUGGCUGUCAAUUUCUCUAUAGGUUGUUGUACUAGUUUCCAACAUUGACUUUGAUAUUUCUUCUUUCCUGUAAUCGGGAGACCUAAGUAUAUGAUGGGAAGUUGUUUUUCUUGGAACCCCAGUAUAUUUAUUAAUUGUUCAUCCCCUUGACAAACUUUUGAGAAGAUGGUCAAGCUUUUCCCUCUAUUUAUGCCCAGUCCUGUGAAAUUUCUAAAAUCCUCUAAAAUCUUAUUUAUUGCUUCUAGCGACUUCUUAUUUGCUUUGGAAAAUAGCAAUACCGCAUCCGCAUACAUUAAGUGUGAUAUUGAGGUUACUCCAUUCACUUGAUAUGUAUCGAAAUGUUUUUGUGCAAUUUUCUUCUGUAUUAACCUUGAGAGCACAUUCAUUAUAAGGGUAAUUUGGACAUUGCCCUUAUAAAGGAUGUGAGCAUUGCAUAUGAAUCUUCAUCCUAUAAGAAGCACAAUCUUUCAUAGAUUGAAAUACAAGCUAUACGCUCAUGGAAGUCCAACCUCAAUAUCUUCCAUCCUAUUACAAUUUACACACCUGAUCUGGAUCAGACUCUAGUAAUACCAUGAAGGCAAGAAUUUGGGAUUCAUAACAACCUUUAAAAAACUAAGGCAUGGGGUUUUGACAAUCGUACACAAUUAGGAAUGUAAAUAGAGAGCCAAAAUCUUCUAUACUCUAUGUAAUUUGGACAUUGCCCUUAUUUUUUAAUGAAAUUUAAUUGCUUUCAAAAUAAAAAGUACAUUACUUUUACAAGAAGUAAACUUACAGGAUAUGUAAGACAUCGCAGACAAUGCCACACCACGGUGCAUUGCGGUACAGCAUAUUGCUGCCUUUUGCACAGAUAACUCUAAAACUGAACCAGACGCUACAAGAACUUCCUGAAAAAUUGUAAUAAUUGAAUCUUGGCUAGUCUCAUAUGAAAUAAAAUAACUUGAGAAAGACAUUUAUACAACAAAGGAAACUAAAUAAAGAAAAUGAAAACCUCCGAACAGAAGAACAUGUAUGAAAUUGUGAAGCUCAUAUAAGCUUCCACCAAAUCAGGCAUUUGGUCACAUAUGUUAGAGGAUGUAAGAGCUGUAAUUGACGCUGAUGAUGUAAAUCUAUCAAAUGUAUUAAUAAAUAAAGCUCCAUAUUCCUCUCUAUGGCCAAAUUCUUCAAUGACAACAACAGCUGAUGAACAGCAUCAAUCAAUGAAGCAGAAAUAUAAGAACAAUGUGUAUGGAAAUAUAAAAGAAUAAAUGCGAGCAAAGAAUCUUUUAAGAAAAAUUAGAAGGGUGUGAACCAUCAUACCAAGACCUAUAUCAUUGAUUGUAAAUACACUAUGCCUAAAGACACAAUCCAAGACCUGAGGUGAUCUGUCUCACCUAACACCUGCUACUUGAUUUAUUCUCUCUUAUAGAGAGACAGUCCCUAACUCUAGACUAAGUGAAAACGUUCUUGAGGACUUCUUUUGUGUUAUGGUAUUGAUGCAUGUCAUAAAAAACCCACUAGCGACUUAUCCACUCAAUAUUAAAAAACUCAGGGAUGCCCAUAAAUAUUAUAUGCAUCAAUAUUCAAUACUAUUAAUAAAGUACUUUACUUUUACUUUGUUGUUAGUAAAGAAUAACCACUAUUCAAUGGACAAUAAAUUAGCGAAUAGAAAAUAAAAUCACCUAGGCCUGCCAAUAAAUUAAAUGGAAAACUACCCAUAAAUUAUCUAGGUCUGCCAAUAACAGGGAAAAUAAAAUCCUACAGUCAAUGUUGGAAGCUCAUACAACCCAUUGAGAAAGUGUGACUAGAUGGAAAGAAAAAUACCUAUCAUAUUUUUUUUUGAAGCAAUUAAAUUUCAUUAAAAUAAGGCUAAUGCCAAGUUUACAAAAAAUAGCGUAUAGAAAUAGAAACAGAAGUAAAAAGAAAUGAGCAAAAAGCUCAUUAACUCUCUCCCAUUAACUAUGUAGUCUAGUUAUAUAGUAACUAGAUACGCUGCCUCAAGAAGUUGGUCUCCUAUACUUCCAUCAUAGAUGUCUCCAAAGGGUGACAACAACUCUUCUUGUAAUACACUGAAUCAAAGAAGAGACUGAUGUCUUUAAUGACCUCCUUAAGGACUACCUCAGGAGGCCUACUAAUGUGUUGUCUAUAUCUUUUAUUUCUUUCCGUCCAUAUAUGCCACACGACAAGCACCCAGUAGCAUUCCAUAUUAGCCCUCAAGGGAGAGAGUGGCACGUAAUCUUUUGUGCUACCUUCGUCAGAUCCCCCAAUCUAAUAUCUGGACUGGAUUGGGUGGGAACUGGAAUAUUCAUUAUUUCCCAGAAAGCGAAAUCCAGGUGUUCCGUCAACGGAAUUAAGAGAGAUCUGGAAUAAGAACUGUUAAAGAAAAGAUGACUCCUAGUUUCAUUUUCCAGAUUGCAUAAUAAGCAAACAGGAGGCACUUGUACUCUCCAACUCCUCAGCUUCUUGAACGUGUUUAGGUGAUCCCAUUUCACCCUCCACAAGAAAAUAGAGAAUUUUUUCGGCAUCUUCGACCAAAUUCCCUCAGCUAAUAUAUCUUUAUGCUUUUUAUCUUUAAUACUUUCCACUAUUCCCCCCAACUUACUUAUCGGAGUACCAGAUCUCCACACAAUCGUACUAUUGACCCUACAAUCCAAACAGUUAUUCACUAAGCUUCUUUCUGAAACAAAAGCUUUCCAAAAAUACGAAUCCACAAUAUGCCUGAUUUGUAUAUCAUCAAGCGCCUUUCCUUUAAUAUACCUAUCUUGGAUCCAUUUUACCAGAAUAGAGUCACUCCUAUCCCAGUACUUUGAAGCUCUUUUAAUAUUGGUUGCAGUGGUGAUAAUAGGAAGGUUUCUAACUCCUAGACCCCAUUUCGCCUUGGGAAGGACCAUUUGGGCCCACGGGAUCCCUUUACUCAAAAAAAAUAAAAUAAUUAAACAUAGACCACAUAUGGACGGAAAGAAAUAAAGCCCAUCUAUCCUUUGUUGUAGCACAUCCGUUAAUGGCACUAGGAAAGAGGCCAUUUCCUUUAAAUCAAACAUGGACCAAAAACCCAUUUCCUUUAAAGAAAGCCCAUCAUUACAUGGAGAGUAUAUAUAUGGAGGAUAGAGGAUGGAAUCGGCAGUUUUUGAUUUAUUUGCUGAAGUUGUUAUUUCCUAGACAGGUAACAAACCUUUUAUCUUCUCUUUCUUUUCUCUUGUAUUUUCUGGUGGAUUCCAGUGUUUUUCCCUCAGCUUCUGUGGAUUCAGAAGAUUUAUCAAGCAACUGAUCUUCACUAAGAUCAGCUGUAUCAGAUGGUAUCAGAGCCAGAUUUUCGGAACAUUGUUUUCAGGGUUACUGUUCAUCAGAAUAGUGUUUUCGAGGUUACUGUUCAUCGGAACAGUGUUUUCGGGUUACUGUUCAUCGCGGAACAGUAACUGUUCAUUUCGGAUUAUUAAAAAAACGCAAAGCUUAAGCUUCAACUUCUAGGCUUGAAGCAAUCCGAUUCUGCAAUGGAGGUACGACAUCAACAUUCCCAGCAGUACAAGGACAAUUUCGCUUAGGAUGGGGAGAGGAUGAUUAGGAAGAACGCAGAGCUUGAAGAUUUUGUUGACUUCCUGGAAAUGGAGUUGGACGAGAAGACCAAGGAGAUCAAGCUCCUAAAAUCUGAUCGACGGUGUUUGCGCAAGGAGGUGAAGUUACUGGAAGAGAAAAGGUAUGACUUAGAACAAAUUAUCUCAGAUUAGGAAUCUGCAAAGGUUACACUAAAUAACCUUGCACAGCGUAAUAAGUCUCUUGAAGAAGAGUUAACAAAGUCAAGAAAUGAGGCGAUGGAUUAUAAAAAAAAUUUUCAGGAAAGCUCUGAUUUGCUACAGGCAUCUGAAGAUCUUUCAAGGAAGCUAUAUGGGGAGAUAUCUGAUUCAGUGUGUGCUGUCUCUAUUGCUGGAAAAAAGGUAGCUGUUGCUGAAGCCCGAUUAUAUGAUUCGGCAAGGUGGAAGACGUGAGUUGUUUUAAACAAUCAGAAGGACAGAUUUCAGUAGCCACUGGUGGUAAUCAUUUGGCCUAUCUGGAAAUCAGUAUUGAACUAUUGAUAAGUUAAAUGAAACUGUUGGAAUGUGGACAGACAAAACUGUCCAGAUUUUUUCAAGGGAAGCUAAAGGGGCUGUUUACUCAUUAAAUGAUUUUCUCACACUAGAUAUCUUUUCUCUUUAUGUACUCCCCGAUUAAUUUCCAUUUUAAUGGACUCGAACUUUAUAAAAAAAAGGCUUUUCAUAUCAUGGACUGACAAUUAGUGAAAAUUGGGGCUACAGUUAUGAGAGUCAAAGGUAGGGGUAAGAACGGGGCGUAAACAAAAGGAAAUUUGGGGUUUCCCCGUCCGAGACCCACCCCGAAAAACUGGUCAGCGGGCCUCGCGAGCAGGAUCAAAAUCCUGUCCCGACCCCAUUCCUAUCAGGAUGCGGAACGCGGUGGACCUGAGGCGACCCGGACCUGUUUUCACCCCUAGUUAAAAGGUAGCAUGUUUAAAUAUAAAUUAUGGAUAAUUUUUACAAAAAACAAUAAGCUUCUAAAUUUAUCCAACCUGUUCUGACAUAACAAUCAUUGCUUUGGAAUGAUAAAAAAUUCGUAGACAAGCAAUCGAGAACUGUAGGUAUCAUCAUCAGAAAAUGCUGACCUGUAAAAAAAAAUCAUAUAAUUGUUUCAAAGGAUCAAAAUAUAGAGGAACUUUUAUUUAUUUUUGAUGCAAAGGAACUUUUAUUUUGAUAAGAUUAAAAGUUCUAUUAAAUGGAAAGACAAAACCUGUGAUGUACAAUAACAAGUAAUAAUAUUCGGAAUAAACUAGUUCAUUGUUAAAAUCCUUAGAAGAAAUGUAUGAUGAAGCAUUGUAGUAGAUGCUUGCAUCUCUCAGAAGUCAGAACUUCCCUUUUGUCUCUCUUUCUCUUUAGCUAUUAGUAGCCUUAAUGUGUGCUAUUUCUUUCUUUUCAAAUGUGCCAACUGCCAAGAAAGAGAGGCCAGAAUGGUCCAAUGUAUACCCCCCAAUACGUAGCCAUGUGUGUGAAUUUCUCCACUGCCUCUAUUACGUCACCCAAUCUUAUGUCCCCAAAUAGUUGUUAUAGAUAUGUUCUAAAUUCUCCAGAUAGUAGAGUUCAGAGCUUUUGUGUAGGUAAGUUGCAGUUGUCUGGUGUAUGGGCAGUUAAAGUAUAGGUGGCUGAUUGUUUCUCCAUCUCCCUUGUUUUAGCCUUUUGUUUCAUUCAGACUAAGUGUGUCAAGCUAAAAAACCCAAAAGCAUUCCAAUGCAGAUCUUGUUGUAAUUGACAAAAACUAGGUCAUCUAGUAGAUCUACAUAUAUCCGGUUUCUACUCUUAGUGUGAAACUGUCAUUGAUAAUUGGACAUCAAGGAUUAUUCUAUCAAUGCAAUCCAUGAAGGCUUCCUCAUAUGCAUUUGCCUUUCAUUGAAGUGCCCAUAUUCAUUAUUCAAGUAGGCAUAUUAGACACGACAUGUUUAUUAGAUAUGAUAACACAAAUACAUAUUAUAUAUAUGCACCCAGCUUCAGGUGCGGACGUCCGCAUUUGAAGCUCGCUGCGGUCCAUCGUCGGAUGGACCGUAUUUCCCAUCCCACGACACCUCACUGCAAUCGGGAACGACAGCGAGGAACCCAUCGCGGUUCGUGCCUCUUGCGGAACCGAUGGACGAACACAAUCGGGAAUCGGCGAAUCGCGAUGGGUUCCAGAUCGGCAUAAGGAACCCAUUGCGGUUCGUCCGCAGUCAUCCGUAUUGGGGAUGAACCGUAUGGGAAAUGGAUUCUAUAUAUAUAUAUAAUUUAAAUAAAUAAAAUUAAUCCUAGUAUCACUUGAGUUAUAAUUAUUAAUUUAAAUAAAUAAGUGUAUAAUAUUAUUAUUAUUUUUAAUAUAUUAAAUGGGUUUUUUGUCCUUUAUGGGUUGAAAUUUUAAAAUAAACAUAAAAUAAUCAAUUAAUUUUUUAGUUGAAAAUAUAUUAGAUAGAAAAAAUUAUUAUAAAUUUAUAAUUCAAGUAUUUAUUAUAAUACCCUAUAGUUUAUUAUAACAUAUAAUACAUGUACACUUUAUUUAGUCCGACAUCGAUAGGAUAUAAAAAGUGUAAAGAAGGUUAACCUAUAAAUAAAGAUUCUAUUUGUCUAAAAAAACAUAAAGUAUUGAGAGUGGAAGGAGCUUAUAUUAAAAAUAAUAUAAUUCUUUCCAUGGGGACCAAUGUAUAAAUUUUUGACAUAAAUAUGUUUAUAAAAUUUAUAAGGUCUUUAGAUUAAAUUUAUUUAUUUUUUCAUGUCAGUCAUGUCGUGUCAACACGGAUUCGGUCGUGUCGUUUUCGUAUCAAUUUUUUUUGACACGGGUCGUGUUCGUGUGACACGAAUAGCCUGACCUACUUUAAAGAACUAACAUGCACUUAGCGAUCUCCAUCCUAACUUGUGACGGUGCCUUGUUACACUUAGCAGUACCCAAUUUUCCACCGAACAGAUUUAUCUCGACGAUACGAAGCUUCACACGAUGAAUUCCACCCCUAGAUAGAAAACAAUAAAUCAAGCAUCUCACUGACAUUGUCGUUCCUGUUUUCCAUUUUGGAAUGAAAGCCCCCUAUUCCAUGUUGGGUCUUCCGCUCUUCCUAAUGUUCUGGACAACCCUUCAGAUUCAAAAAAAAUUUGUCGAUUGACUAAUGUAAAUUUGAGGAUCAACUUUCAGUUGACUAUCAUUCAGAACAAUCCUCAAUGACAUCAAGUCGCUCAUUGUUUUUUUAUGCAAUUAAGUUUUUCAUUGAAAAUGAAGGGUUGUACCCUGAGAGUUGCAAUGGAAAAAGCAAAAACAAUACAAAUAUGUAAAUGAGCAUUAAGAUUUAAGCUCUUCUAGACUCUUUCCACUCAGCCAUGUUAUCUGAUGGUUUCAGAUUAUCUGCCUCUGGAGGUUGGUCUCCCAUAUUUGCAUUGUGUUGGUCUCCAAGGAAUGACAACAGUUUUUCCUGAAGCAUUUAGGCUUGAAGGAGAAACUGAUGUCCUUGACGACUUCUUUGAGCAGUACUUCUGGUGACCUGAGGGUGUGUUGUUUCCAUCUUCGAUUUUUUUUUGUUCAGAUAUGCCAACACAAAGUGCCCAAUGCAUUCCAUAAUAAACCCUAAAUUGGCGAAUGAUGUGUUAGUUUUUGACAAGCAUAAGAUCUCCUAGCCUGAUAUCUGGGUGUUUUGUGGUGGGAUAAAAAAUCCAAAACCGGUAGCCGGUUAGUUGAAGCGGGUUGGUGGGUCGGCGGAUGGGGUCUGACCCGUAUCCGACCCAAAUACCCGACCCAUUUUUUAAGACAAUUUAUUUUAAGAUCAAAAAUUUAUUUUAAGGCCAAAAAUUUAUUUUUAUGCCAAAAAUUUAUACAUUGGUCCAUGAAAAAAGUUAUAUUAUUUUUUAAUAAAAGCUCCUCCCACUCUUAAGAGUUAAGACUUCAUGUUUGUUUUAGACAAAAUGAAUCUUUAUUUAUAGACCUCUUAAGACUUCGUAUUUGUUUUAGACAAAAUGAAUCUUUAUUUAUAGACCAACCUUCUUUCUGUUUUUUAUAUUCUAUCGAUGUGGGACUAAAAAUGUGUAGUUAAAUAAAUUAUAAAAUUUUGUACUUUUUGAAUUCUAUCAAUGUGUACAUGUGUUAAAUAAAUAUUCUAUAACACAUGUACACUUUAUUUAGUCCCACAUUCAUAGAUUUCAAAAAGUACAAAGAAUAUUUUAUAAUUUAUUUAACUACACUUUUUUAGUCCCACAUCGAUAGAAUUCAAAAAAUACAAAGAAGGUUAGUCUAUAAAUAAAGAUUCAUUUUGUCUAAAACAAAACAAAUAUGAAGUCUUAAGAGUGGGAGGAGCUUUUGUUAAAAAUAAUAUAGCUCUUUUCAUGGACCAAUGUAUAAAUUUUUGGCCUUAGUGAAUUUAUGAAGAAAAAAAAUACGAAAAUACCCCUACCGGUUAACCACCGGUUAAAACCGGUCAGCCAGAACUGGUUACCGGUUAACCGGUUUUUAAACCUUGUAAUCAAUAUAUCAUUGAGGGACUGGGCUAGUGAGAGUAGGAUGGUUCUAGAGUAAAAUGCAAUUGAAAAAUAGUUGGCUUCUUGUUUCAUUCCCUGCAUUGCAGAGGAUGCAGGUCGGUUAUGUAUGGGCAUGCCCCAUCCAUUUAGUCUGACAAAGAUGUUAUCCUCCAACCAUAAGUAGGAUCAUGACGAUUUUCAUUAGUGCCAUUUUCUAAACUCUGAAAAAUAAUGAAAUCAAAAAAAAUUUAAUUAAACUAAAUGAAAGUAUGAGACAAAUCAAUAAAUGGACAGAGGAGGCUUCAGACACUUUUCAGAAGUUAAAAAAAACUACAAAGUACAAACAGCACCCGUGUUAGCUUUGCCAGACUUCACAAAGAUUUUUAAGGUUGAGUGUGAUGCCAGCAUCUGUGGAGUGGGAGCAGUGCUAAGUCAGAAUGGUCACCUGGUGGGAUUCCAUACGAAAAACUCACCGCCAGCAGAAAGAAAUGGACCACCAAUGAGUAGGAGUUAUAUGUGUUGUCAGGGCCUGCAAAGUAUGAGAACCGUAUUUAAUCCAGAGAGAGUUUGUAGUUCUCACUGAUCAUAGAUUCAGAAUUGAAGCAAAUUAAUGGAACAUCUGAUGCAAACAGAAUGUAUAGCAGAUGGUUCUUCUUCUUACAGAUAUUCGAGUUCACAAUGAAGCAUAGAUCUGGCAUAAGUUAUAAGGUGGCUGAUGCCUUAAGCAGGAAAAUCUCUUUGUAAACAGUUUUGAGAUUAGAGGUGGUAGCCUUUGAUUGCUUAAAAGAGUAGUAUCAUACUGAUGAAAUUUUUUCUGUUAUUUAGGAUGAAUGCCUUCAGAAGAAGCACAACAAAGGCUUCAAAAUUAGUGAGGGAUUCUUAUUCAAAGAAAACAGACUAUGCAUUCUCCUCAGACUUCUUUAAGAUUACAACUGAUCAAGGAUAUACACUCGGGAGGACUAGCUGGUCAGCUCAGGAGGGACAAGACAUUAGCCCAGGUAGAGAUCAGAUAUUAUUGGCCAGGAAUUAAAAAGGAGUUAGAAUGAUUUGUUCAGACUUCAGAGGUGCCCUAGAUGUCAAAAAGCAAAGGGCACACAUCAAAAUAGUGGUCUUUAUACCCCUUUACCUGUACCUAAGGAACCAUGGGCUGAUCUUUCUAUGGAUUUUGUUUUAGGGUUACCUAAAACUAGUAGAGGAUUGGAUUCCAUUUUUGUGAUGGUUGACAGAUUUUCAAAAAUGGUCCACUUUAUCCUUUGCAAGAAGACUAAUGAUGCUUCUCACAUAGCAAAGUUGUUCUUCAAUGAAGUUAUAAGACUUCAUGGUAUUCCGAUAAGCAUUGUAUCAGAUAGGAACACAAAAUUUCUCUCAUUUAUAAAGAAUCUUAUGGAAAAGAUUUGACACGAAUUUGAAAUUCAGUUCCACAUGUCAUCCACAAUCUGAUGGUCAGACAAAAGUUGUCAAGUAACUUGGUAAUCUGUUGAGAGUCCUAGCAGGAAAACACCCAAAACAGUGGAACCAGCAUUUAGCUCAAGCAGAAUUUGCCUUCAAUAGUAUGCCAAAUAGAUCAAUUGGUUGUGCACCAUUUGUGGCUGCCUAUAGACACCUUCCAAAAAAUAUAAUGGAAGUCACCUCUACACCAUCAGCGAAUAGGAAGGUGGAAGAUAUUAUAGAAUUCAGCAAACUAAUACACAAGCAAGUAGAGGAAUCAAUUGCCAGGGCUAAUGAUCUAUAUAAAGAAAGAGCUGACAGAUCUAGAAGAUUUCAGACUUUUGAAGAAAGUGAUCUGGUAAUGGAUCAUCUUAAGAAAGAUAGAUAUCCAGUGGGGUCAUAUUCAAAGCUGAAGGAUAGAAAUUUUGGACCUUGCAAAGUACUAAAGAAGAUCAGCGACAAUGCUUUCAUCAGAGAUCUUCCUCUAGAGUUCAACAUGUCAUCAACAUUUAAUGUGGCAGAUUUAAGAAAAUAUUUUCCACCCACAGAAGAAGACAACCAAUUGGACUUGGACUCUCAUGAUGGACUUUCCACUCUAUACCAUGAUAGUAUAAAAUAUGAGUGGACCCAAGGAGGAAGGAUUAGUUGAGAUUUUUACAAGGUAAUUUCUCCACUCAAUCUCUCUCUUAUUUCUAUCUUAAUCAUAGUUUUUAAAGCGUCGCUUUAAUAGCUUAAAGCGGAAAAGCGCUCCUAGGGGAGCGCUUUCUAAAUCGCUUUUUUUUAGGUGGGUAAGUGGGUCGGGUCGAGUCAUGACGUAUAAUUAGCCACUGAAAUCUCCAGAUUCAAAGAAAUCUGUCGUAGAAACCUCCACCAUCGUCUAUCUUCCCCAUCUGUCAUAGAAACCCAACAGACUUCAACAUCUCAAGAGGCAGUGACAGACCCAAUUCGGUGGUGGUCGUGAAAAGAUUCAAAGAUCUGGAGAUGGAGAACUGAAGUUAGAUGGAUGGAUAGAGAGAGAGAAGAGGGGGGAGAGAAUGAUAAUAGUAGUAAUUGAAGUGGAGAACCGCAGCAGGACAGAAACAUACAUCUUUAUUCUUUACACGUACGUACGUACAAGUAAAGAUGUACAGGUACAGGGGUUACAGGCUUACAAGGGUUACAGCCUGUACAAGAGAGAAUAAGAAUCUCAUGGGUUACAGGGGCUGUAACAAGUAAAGAGAAUAAGAAUCUUGUACACAAAAAAUUAUAUACAGGGGUAUAUAUGGAUUUUUAAAAAAAAAAUUGUAUAUAUUUACAAAAUUGCCACUAUCGCUUUUUUAGCUUUAAGCACGUUAAAGCGCUUAAAGCUAAAAAAGCGCUCCCUGGAAAUUGGGAGCGCUUUAAGCUUUUUAAAACUAUGAUCUUGAUUACUCUCGUUAUUUCUUUAUUACCCUGAAACCUUCCUUCUCUGAUUAUCCGUGUACUUGAUAAUCCUUAGAAGAAUUUCCUGAUUGAACCUGAUAGAAUCCAGCCUUCAGUCGUCCCUGUUUUGGCAUCAGAAAACUCCAGAGACAACCGAUCUCUUGUAAUCUUCACAUGUUCUUCAAAUCGGUUCACAUCCUACAAUUAAUAAUAAAGGGAGACAUAUCUAUUGUAGUUUUUUUAUAUACCUUCUUGUUUUUUCCUUAAUGAAAAAAAAAGUAAAUAUUAUGGACAGAUAAAAAUUACAUAUUUACAAUUUUGAAUUUACAUGAGUACCGGAAGAUUUAACAGCUUGAGAAAGAGCCUUGCAUGCAGCAGCUGUGAGAUUUCUAUUCUCCAUAUGCACUGAUUUAAAAAGCUUCUCAAGAAGUGGCCAAAAUAAAUUUAGUAAAACCACAAUGGUAGAAUCAUCAAAAUACCCCAACGAGAGAGAGGUACUUAAAUGACUAAAGACAAUUCCCAUCCUGAAGAAAUAUAAAACAAAAUUCAAAUACUGAAUAAAUGGACUUUAAUAUACAGAUUAAUCAUUUCAUCUUCCAUGAGAAGAACUAUCAUUUAUAUCCAAAAUCCAAGAUUCAUUAUUACAUUCAAUAUUUUUUUUUGCAAAGGAUAAAAUUUUUAUUUUCAAAAAUCGAAGAAGAUUACAAGAAAUAUAUACAAUAUCCUCUUCCCAUAAAGAGAAGUGGUAUUCCCACCUUUAAUUGACAUCUGCACUAUGUCUAAACCGAUGUUAAAAGUAAGGAUCUAGCUACUAUUAGUGACGCUUGACCACAAAGUCCUCAAAGGGUUAAUGUAUUUAAUAUUUUAACUCUGAUGUAGCCCACCACAUUAAUUUAACUGGUCAUUGGCUCGAACCAAGACUAUGUCCAUUUAUUUGGACAGACCAUCUCUUAUUGUAGAUUUUCCACUCUCACAGAAUGAAAGUAUAAAUAUGAGUGGACCUGGAUGGUGGAGUUACACUAGUUAUUUAUACUUUGUUCCUUGUGAGAUCAUCAUGACUCCAGCCUAUCUUUUAGAGCAUACAUCUUUAAGAAAAGUUGUGGCUCGUAAAUGGAGGAGAUAACAAUGCAGGUUUGGGAGACAAACCUCUAAAGACACAAUAUGUUCAGUUAAUAGAUCACUAAAUGUAAUUUCUAGAUAAAUGUUUGGAUUGUAGAGCUAAUAGCACUGCAGUUUGGAGAUCCGGUACUUCUAUAAAUAAGUUGAGGGGAAUUGUGGUAAGCAUUAGAGAUAGAAGUCAUAAAGACUUAUUAGCAAAGGGAAUUUGGUCAAAUAUGCCAGAAAAAUUCUCUAUUUUCCUAUGGAAAGUGAAAUGAGAUCAUAUAAACACUUUCAGAAAAUUGAGGAGUUGGAGAGUGCAAGUACCAUAGUUUUUAAAGCGACGCUUAAAGCUAUUAAGGCGUCGUAAAGCUAUUAAAGUUGGAGGUUAAUAAAUAUUUUGGUUCCCACCCAAACAAGUCUGGAUAUAAGAUUGGGGGAUCUCACGGAGGCUGCACAAAAAUUCAUACAUCACUCCUCCCUUGGGGACUACUCUGGAAUGUCAUUGAGUGCUUGUCGUGGCAUAUUUGGACAAGAGAAAUAAAAGAUAUAGACAACACUCUAGAAGGUCUCAUGAGACAGUCCUUAAGGACAUCGGUCUCUCCUUUGGAUGACACAACUCACAAGAAGUGGUGUUGUCACCUUUUAGAGAUAUCAACGAUUGAAGUAUGGGAGAUUAAUCUCUUGAGACAGCGUAUCUAGUUACUAUAUAACUAAACUACAUACCUAAUAGGAGAGAGUCAUUGGGUUUUUUGCUCAUUUUUAUUUACUUCUAUUUCUCUUUCUAUUCUCUAUCAUUUUAUAACAUGGGCAUUUCCCUUCAUUUUUAAUGGAAGAAUUUAAUUACUUAAAAAAAGUAAUUGCUAGAUAGAAGUCGAUAAGCAACAACUCAUCCCCCAAUUUUCUUUGUAUUCUCUCUCCCUCCAUAUAUGUCAUAUGGAGACUUCUACGACCAUCAAUGGUGUUUAACUAAAAAACCUAAAAUUCUGAGUAGACUCGUGUCCUCUUUCUACAUCUUGGCAACCUAGGGAGAAAUGACAAGAAAAAUUUGAAUGACAUAGAAGUAAACAAAAAGUACCAGCUAGGUUUUGCAUGUAAAAGUAAAAAAAAUAUUAGAUACAUAAUCCGAAUCAUUUGACGACAACAAACCUAUAAAGACCUUUGACAGCAGCAUUUAAGAAUUGUAUAUAAGCAGCAGGAUUGUUUCUCAAAGAAUUCUCUUUAUCAACAUCUGUCUGAAAAAUAUAAAAUAUUCAGUUGGGCUUUCCAGCCUUGGAUCAUUAUCUGCAUUUAUCUAAAAAGUGUGAUAGCAUGUGACAUCAACUCUAGAGAAUGAAGCCUAUGAAGGUAUAUUGAACAUGAAAAAUGGUACAAACAAAAUUUCAACAAGCCAAACUAGAGAUAUGCAAAGCCACUGUAUCCAAUGUAUUCAAAAUGGUUUUUCAGCAAUCAAUAUUGACGGUCUAAAGAACGCCAAUAUUAAGGUUUGCUGCUUGUAUUUACUAACAAGUUAAAUUAUUAACAAAAAAUAAAAUAAAUAGAGAAAAUCAACUUGGUCAAAAAAUAACCUUUACAUGAUGAUUUGGUAAAUAACCAUAGCCUGAUAGAAAGAAAACAAUUGUAUCUCUAUCAAAUUAAUUUAUCUUGUACAGUACAUCAACAAAGUUUUUUUUUUGAUAAAAUUAAAUACCAUUAAAAUGGGAAUAAAAAGAUGAAUUAGUAUUGGAGCAGUCAGCAGUCCUAAAUCAAGGAGGUCAUCCUGUGGCCUUUUUCAGUGAAAAAUUGGCAGAAUGCAGACAAAAGUGGACAACAUAUGAGCUGGAAUUUUAUGCAGUAGUGAGAGCUUGCCAAACUUGGAAACACUAUCUGCUAUAAAGGGAAUUCAUUCUUCAUACAGACCACCAAGCAUUGAAACAUAUCAAUAAUCCAUCUUCCACAAACAGAAUGCAUGCUAAAUGGAUAGCUUUUCUGCAAAGAUUCGUGUUGACAGUUCAACACAUGGCUGAGGUGCAAAACAGAGUAACUGUUGCCUUAAGUAGGAGGACUCACAGCUUAACAAUUCUGAAAAUAUCAGUUCCAGCAUUUGAGAGCAUUAAAGAACUGUACCCUGAGGAUGAUGAUUUUAAAUUUAUUUGGGGUGACUUACUGACUGUUGGGAAGUCAAGAAAAAUUUCAGAUUUGACAUGAAAGAGGGAUUUCUUUAUUUUGACAACAGAUUAUGCAUCCCUAGACAAGGUUCCGGGUGCGCGCGCAUAUGCGAUGAUGCGCCCCCAGAGGGAGAUGCGCCAGACGCAUCUCCCUUAGCCGGAUCCGGGUCGGAUCCGGGUAAAAUCCGACCCGGAUCCAGGCCUGUUUUAAGUUAUUUAAAUAACUUAAAACAGUGUUUUGUUUUUAUUUUAUCCAAUAUAUUUUUAACUAAAAAAUUUAAUUAAUAUAAUUUAGAUAUAUAAAAAAAUAUUAAUUUCCUAUAGUUUUAUAAAUAUUUACGAAAAUGCCACUGGCGCAUCUGAGCGCAUAUGCACGCAUAUGCUCAGAUGCUCCAGGCGGCGGCGCAUCGCGCAGAGGCGCAUCUGGAACCUUGUCCCUAGAUCAUCUAUUAGAUUGAAAAUAAUAGAAGAAAUUCAUGGAAAUGGUUUGGGAGGCUAGAUUACAGGUAGAUGUUAGAUUUUAUUGGCCAAAGUUAAAAAGAGAUGUAGUAAGAUUUGUGUAGCAGUGUCAGGUAAGCAAAGGUACUUAGUAGAACACUGGGCUUUAUACCCCACUUCCAGUACCUAAUACACCUUGGAAGGAUAUAUCUAUGGACUUUGUAGUGGGAUUACCUAGAACUUAAGGUCAGAAUGAUUCUAUUUUUGUGGUGGUGGAUAGAUUUUCCAAAAUAGCACAUUUCAUACUAUGUAGGAAAACCAAUGAUGUCAGCCAAGUAGCACUCUUAUUUUUCAGAAAAGUAGUCAGAUUACAUGGGGUUCCUGCUUCAAUCACAUCAGAUAGAGACUCAAAGUUUCUGUCCCACUUUUGGAGAGAAUUGUGGAAGAGGUUGACCACUGACCUAAAGUUCAGUCCUGAGAAGUCUAGCUGGUUCAAAACCAAAACAGUGGGACAGGGUGCUUCCUUAAGCAGAGUUUGCUUAUAAUUUUAUGCCUAAUAGAUCAACAAGGUUGGCUCCUUUUGUAGUAGUUUAUGGGAAACUUCCUCCUUAACCUAUGGAUUUAUCAUUGGCAGUGUCAAAUUCCAAGGUAGCUGAAAUGUUAGAUGAUAUCACUAUAGUCCACAAAUGGGUCAGAAAUAAUAUUGAAUUUGGAUAUGUGUCCUAUAAAGAGAGAGAUGGUCAGUCUAAGAGAUUUCAGAGUUUUAAACAGGGGAAUUUUAUGAUGGUACAUUUAAUAAAAGGAAGAUUUACUCAAGGAACCUACUCCAAAUUGAAAAAUAAAUUUUUUGGCCCAUGAGAGAUCAUCAAAAAAAUCAGCGACAAUGCGUAUAAAGUGGAUCUGAGAAGAUACUUCCCACCACUCUCUGAAGGGUAUUCUCAUAAUUUCGUGGAAGCUAGUUGGAGGCAGAGUCUGGCCUAAGGCCCACUAAAUUCCCUAAACGAUCCAUCUUAAUUAUCUCCACUAAUUUUAUUUUUUUUGAAAGCAAUUAAAUUUCAUUAAAAAAUAAGGCUAAUGCCCAGUUUACAAAAAUAGAGUGUAAAAAUAACAACAGAAGUAAAAAGAAAUGAGCAAAAGCUCAUUGACUCUCUUCCAUUGUAUCUCCACUAAUUAAGAUGGAUAUAAAUAGGAGAAUAAGUGGAGGAAUAAAGUAUUUUUUAUGAUUAUUCUGAAUUUACCUUUUUAUGUUUGUCUUAUUCUCUUCUCUUGAUCUACUUUUCUUACUAUCGUUCUUUCCUUUGGAAUUUCUAGAUAUAGAUGUCUUUUUCUUUGUGAACAAUCAAUCAAUCCUUGAUUGAUUGAUUUCUCUCUUAGUUAGCGUGAUAUCCUUAAUCACUAAUGCCCUAGCAUCUGGAGGCAACAUAAAAGAUGAGGGGUCUAAAGUAUAAUAAUUUUUUAAGAUAUGGAUAAACUUGAAGAUUUCUAUAAAAUUAUUUUUGGAAUAUAAUUACUUACAAGUUUCUCAAGUGCAGUAUAACUAGAAGAAAGAAGCCUUGUUAAUGAAUUAUUCUGCAGUUGUUUGUCAGAAAAAGAUUCAAGAAUAACCAUUAUCGCAGCAACAACACAUUUCUCUUCUUCCAGUGCCAAGUUGUUUUUAUCUAAGUUCUAGAAGAAGAAAACCAAUUAAACAGAUAUUAAAAAACACAUAUACUUAUCGAUAUGAGUAUGUAUAAUAGACUUUUUUUUUUUUGAAGCAAUUAAAUUUCAUUAGAAUAAGGCUAAUGCCAAGUUUACAAAAAUAGAGAAUAGAAAUAAAAAUAGAAGUAAAAAGAAAUGAGCAAAAAGCUCAUUGACUCUCUCCCAUUAGCUAUGUAGUCUAGUUAUACAGUAACUAGAUACGCUGCCUCAGGAGGUUGGUCUCUCGUACUUCCAUCAUAGAUGUCUCCAAAGAGUGACAACAACUCUUCUUGUAAUACACUGAAUCAAAGGAGAGACUGAUGUCUUUAAUGACCUCCUUAAGGACUACCUCAGGAGGCCUACUAGUGUGUUGUCUAUAUCUCUUAUUUCUCUCCGUUCAUAUAUGCCACGACAAGCAUCCAAUAGCAUUUCAUAUUAACCCCCAAGAGGGAGAGUGGCGCAUAAUCUUUUGUGCUGCCUCCGUUAGAUCCCCUAAUCUAGUAUCUGGACUGGAUUGAGUAGGGACUGGAAUGUUCAUUAUUUUCCAGAAAGCGGAAUUCAGGUGUUUCGUCAACGGAAUUAAUAGAGAUCUGGAAUAAGAACAGUUAAAGAAAAGAUGACUCCUAGUUUCAUCUUCCAUAUUACACAAUAAGCAAACGGAAGGCACUUGUACUCUCCAACUUCUCAGCUUCUUGAACGUGUUUAGAUGAUCUCAUUUCACCCUCCACAACAGAAUAGAGAAUUUUGUCGGCAUCUUCGACCAAAUCCCCUCAGCUAACAUGUGUUUAUGCUUUCUAUUUCUAAUACUUUCCACUAUUCCCCCCAAUUUAUUUAUCGGAGUACCAGAUCUCCACACAAUCGUACUAUUGACCCUACAAUCCAAACAUUUAUCCACUAGGCUUCUUUCUGAAACAAAAGCUUUCCAAAAAUGCGAAUCCACAGUAGGCCUGAUUUGUAUAUCAUUAAACGUCUUUCCUUUAAUAUACCUAUCUUUGAUCCAUUUUACCAGAAUAGAAUCGCUCCUAUCCCAGUACUUUGAAGCUCUUUUAAUAUUGGUUGCAGUAGUAAUAAUAGGAAGGUCUCUAACCCCUAGACCCCCUUCUGCCUUGGGAAGGACCAUUUGGGCCCACGGGAUCCCUUUCCUUCCGUUCCAUAUAAAUCUAUAAGCUAACCUUCUCACCUUCUUAGCCACAGAGUCAGGAAUAGUCAUACCUUGCUCCCAAUAAGUAUACUUUUCAACUAUUAUCCAGUUAACUAGUUGUAUUCGCCCUCUAUAGGAAAGACAUUUCCCACUCCAUCUUGCUAAGAGCGCCUCUAUAGACUGGAUUAGUUUCCAGCACUGUCCAAAUGACUUUUUCUUUCCCGUGAUUGGUAACCCUAGAUAUGUUAUAGGUAGACUUUUAACAGUAUAUCCUAAGAUAUUAUGCAAAGAUUGAUUUUCUGCCAACUUUGUUGUUGACUUCAAAUAAAUUGAAAAGUUAAAAGUUAAAGGUAUUAUAAAGUAUCCUGAUGAUGAAUUCAAGAAUACUUAUUGGUUUAGUAAGUUUUGUUAAACAUUAUAUUUUUAACUAGGUGUCUUCUUGAUGACAAGACUUAAGAUGGUGAUAUUGUCUAGUCUAGGUCAUAUCAAAGAUAACAACCAAACAUAGAGCAAUAUGCCAAUAUAUGAUUUAUUGAAAUAAUAUAUAAUCUAAAAUAGUUUAUGAUAAAAAAAAAUUGAAAGCAAUAAAUUUUUCCAUUGAAAUACUAUGAUAAUUAUCGAUUAUACGGUAUAAUUUCUACCGAAAAUAGGUAGUACUGGUCGAGAUAAAUAACAAAUUGUCUGAAUUAGAUCUCUCAUGGGAGAAUAGGAAAAGAUUGCUAUCUAUAUCCUUUUUUUUAUAAAGAUUAAAUUUCAUUAGUAAAUGAAGUGGGCCUUACCGAGAGUACAUAACAUAAAUAAUUAUAUAGAUAUAUAAAAUAGGAGAACGUGUUGUCCUUAACAGUCCAUUGCACUAUUGUGGCAACAUAAACCUCUAUGGAAUGCUAUUGGGUGCUUAUCAUGGCAUAUAUGGAAGGAAAGAAAUAAAAAAUAUAGACAGCACAUUAGUAGGCCUCCUGAGGUAGUCCUUAAGGAGGUCAAUUAAAGACAUCAGUCUCUUCUUUGAUUCAGUGUAUUACAAGCAAGGUUUAAAAACCGGUUAACCGGUUCUGGCUGACCGGUUUUCCGGUGAGGCCGAUUAACCACUGGUUAACCGGUGGGGGUAUUUUCGUAAUUUUUUCUUCUUCAUAAAUUCACUAAGGUUAAAAAUAUAUUUUUAUGCCAAAAAUUUAUACAUUGGUCCAUGAAAAGAGCUAUAUUAUUUUUAAUAAAAGCUCCUCCCACUCUUAAAACUUCAUAUUUGUUUUAGACAAAAUGAAUCUUUAUUUAUAGACCAACCUUCUUUGUGUUUUUUGAAUUCUAUCGAUGUGGGACUAAAAAAGUGUACUUAGAUAAAUUAUAAAAUAUUUUUUAUACUUUUUAUGAAUGUGGGACUAAAUAAAGUGUACAUGCAUGUAUUAUUAUAAAGUGUACAUGUAUGUAUUAUUAUAAAGUGUACAUGCCUGUAUUAUUAGUCCCACAUUCAUAAAAAGUACAAAGAAUAUUUUAUAAUAUUUUUAACUACACUUUUUUAGUCCCAUAUCGAUAGAAUUCAAAAAACACAAAGAAGGUUGAUCUAUAAAUAAAGAUUCAUUUUGUCUAAAACAAAUAUGAAGUCUUAAGAGUGAGAGGAGCUUUUAUUAAAAAUAAUAUAGCUCUUUUCAUGAACCAAUAUAUAAAUUUUUGGCAUGAAAAUAUAUUUUUGGCCUUAAAAUAAAUUUUUGGUCUUAAAAUAAGUUUUUAGUUUUAAAAAAUGGGUCGGAUAUUUGGGUCGGGUACGGGUCAGACCCGACCCGUAGACCCACAAACCCGCUCCAACUAACCGGCUACCGGUUUUGGAUUUUUUACCGGUCACCGUCGGUUUUUAAACCUUGAUUACAAGAAGAGUUAUUGUCACCCUUUGGAGAUAUCUAUGAUAGAAGUACGAGAGACCAACUUCCUGAGGCAGCGUAUCUAGUUAUUGUAUAACUAGACUACAUAGCUAAUGGGAGAGAGUCAAUGAGCUUCUUGCUCAUUUCUUUUUACUUCUGUUUUGCGUCCUUUAUGAUCCCUUUACUGUUCUCCUUUAAUUCGGGGAAAUCCCCUGGGCCAGAUGGUUUCACAUCGGAAUUUUUCAAAAAAAUUUGGGGAGAUCUUAAAGUCCUAGUAAUGGAGUGUGUAAGACAAUUUUUUAAAGGCAAGCCUUUGUUGAAGUCUGCUAACCAUACUUUCAUCAUGCUUGUGCCCAAAACAAACACGGCCUCAGAUAUGUCGGAUUUCAGGCCGAUAUCAUGUGUCAAUUUGAUCUACAAGCUAAUGACGAAAAUAUUAGCAGAUAGGAUCAAUGUUUAAAAACCGGCGGUUAACCGGCUGACCGGUAGAAUUUCACUAACCGGUCACCGGUUAGUUGGGACGGGUAAAUGGGUCGACGGGGUGGGUCUGACCCGUACCCGACCCGGUUACCCGUCCCUGUUACCCGUCUCGGAUUUAAUUAUUUCAGUUAUGGGCUUUAUUUAAUAAAGCCCAUUAUGUUUAAGUUCAUUUAUUAAAGAAUAAGUUCUUUGCAACCCUAGCCAUUAUGGGCCUCAAAGAAUAAGUUUAAAUCUUAUUCUUUGACCUAGCCGUUGCCUCCUUCCUUAUAUUUCUUUUUCUCCUCCACUCUCCUCCAUUCACAUCUCCUCCACUCUCCACCAUUAGAAGUUUCUUCCUUCUUCUUCUCCUUCACAUUUCUUUGAUUCUCCACCAUCAGAAUUUUUUCUUCUUCUUUUCCUCCACAUUUGUUUGCCAUUUGCUUCACUUCCUACGGUCUGAAAUAUUAUCCUACUGCAUCGAUCAUGUCUUCCCAAGAAUCCAGCGAUUAUGUACUUUAUUUAAGUGAAGAAUCCAGUCAUUCUAGUGAAAAUGAAGCUGGAAAUGAUGUGCGUAUCGAUUUGGAUGAAUUAGAAGAUGAAUUAGAGUUGCUGGACAGCGAGGAAGUGAAUUUUAAUCCAUCAACUACUGCUGGAAAUGUUGCAUCCACCUCAGUUGAGUCUAUUCCAGAAUUUCCAGCAACUACUGCUGAAAAUGUUGCUGAAAAUAUUGCUGGAAAUGUUGCUGGAAAUGCUCCUGGAAAUGCUGCUGAAAAUGUUGCUGCCCAAAUUCGUUUUCAACCAGAUUGUAAUGUUGUUUACCACAAAUCCAUACCGUUGGAGGUAAUUUCGGAUAAAUCGAAAAGACCUACUAAAUCUACAGAUUUGGCAUGGAAAUAUGGAGUAAUCAACGACUUCUCGAAGUCCUAUCAAGUGCAAUGUCUUUUAUGUGGAAAAACCAACAGUGGUGGAAUAGGACGCUUGAAGGAACAUCUUACCGGAGAUACUCACGGUACAAAUAAUGUUCAAAAAUGUCAUUAUACAACCAUUGCGAUGGCAAAUGAAUUGCUGGAAUAUAUGGGGAAAAAGAAGAGGAAAGACAAAGCUCCCAUCAUCGAUAUCAUCAAAUUGCAAAAGAAAUCCAAGAAAUCGCAUAAAACAAUUUCGACUUCAAAAUCAAGUGUGCUAGGAUCAAACAAGCCAUCAACAUCUGGAUUAUUAAAGAAGAUGAAUGCUUUGGGUUUGGAAGACAACGAAACAGUCCACGACGUUGUUCGAAAGAGGAAUACUUUCAAAUCGAAACAAUCAUCACUUGAAGAUCACAUGAAAAAGGAAGCCAAGACUAUUGUGGAUGACAUAGUGGCUGAAUUUUUUUAUUCUAGUGGAAUUCCUUUCAAUGUGGUUCGUAAUCCACUUUUUGAGGUAUGAAAUUAGUUUUCUCAAUUUUUCACAUGAUUUAUUAAGUCUGAUUUUUACUUAAUCAGUUCUUAAAUAAAUGUCAUAGGUCAUGCUUGAGGCCGUUGGUAGAUAUUGCAGAAACUAUAAGCCACCUUCAAUGUAUCAAUUGAGAGUACCCCUUCUCAAGAGACAAGUUACAAAAACCAAAGAAAUUCGGAAAAAACAUGAGGAGGCUUGGAAACGUGGGGGUUGUACACUGAUGUCAGAUGGUUGGACUGAUGGACGCAACAGAAGUAUUAUCAACUUCUUAGUGAAUUCAAGUGCGGGGACCUACUAUAUGCAUUCAAUCGAUGCAUCAUCUGAAACAAAAACUGCCGAUUACGUUGCCAAAACUCUUGACGAUGCAAUGCAAAAGGUUGGAGUGAAGAAUGUGGUUCAAAUUUGUACCGACAACGCAAGCAACUAUGUCUUGGCUGGAAAGAUGCUAAUGGAUAAAUACAAACAUUUGUAUUGGACUCCUUGCGUAGCACAUGUGUUGGAUUUGACAAUUGAGGAUGUUGGUAAAAUCCCAAAAUAUGCCAAAGUUGUCAAAAAUGCAAGGAAAAUCACUACCCACAUCUACAACCACACGAACCUUCAUAGUGAUUUCCUAGUGGCUUCAAAGAACAAAGAACUUAUUCGUUGUGGUGUUACUAGAUUUGCAUCUGCAUACCUAACAUUGGAAAGUUUGAAAGAACAAAAGGAUGUUUUGAAACACUUCAAUUGGGAGAAGUACAAGAACAAAGGUAACAACACUGCUGUCCAAAGAUUGAUGAUCAACUCUUUAUUUUGGGAGGCACUUGAGGAUUUUUGUCGAGCUACAAAACCACUUGUGGAAUUGCUAAGGUUGGUAGACGCAGAAAGAAAACCUGUCAUGGGUUAUGUGUACAUGGGUUUCAAAAUGGCAAAGGAAGGUGUUAAGAACAAUUUUAACAAUGUGGAAAGAGACUACAAGCCAAUCUGGGAGAUCAUGGAAAGAAGAUGGGAUAAACAUUUUCAAAGUCCUCUUUUUAAAGCGGGUGCAUUUCUGAAUCCAAAAUCAUUUUAUGAGCUAAGAAGGUACUAAUGAAAUUAAAUAACNNNNNNNNNNNNNNNNNNNNNNNNNNNNNNNNNNNNNNNNNNNNNNNNNNNNNNNNNNNNNNNNNNNNNNNNNNNNNNNNNNNNNNNNNNNNNNNNNNNNGAAUGGAUGACUGGAAUUGAAGGACCAUCAAAUGAGUCUGUGUACACAGAUGAUGGACUCACUUGGGCUACAGUAGAGGAGGCUAUGGGAAUACAUGAAAGACUUGGAGCCUACACAAGGAGGGCUCAAAACGUAGAAAAUGAUGAUAUCUAGAUAUCUAGAUAUCUUAGGCUUAGGAUAUUUUGAAUUACAUUAUGGAAUUAAUUACCUAUUUGCAUUACUAUUUUGAAUGACUAUUUUGAAUGACUAUAUUGUUUAUGAUAUUUUUAUUUAUAUAAACAGGGAUAUAAACAGGGAUAUAAACAGGGAUAUAAACAUGGAUAUAAACAUGGAAUAGAUAGAUAUAUAAGUAUAUAAAUAAUUUCUGUUUUUUAAAAAAAAAUUACCAAAAUACCCCUACCGGUUAACCACUGGUUAACCGGUGGUUAACCGGUCUAACCGGAUAACCGGUAAGCCAGAACC